rnacentral:rRNA from 1 species
GCGCGGCGGGCGGGGCGGGGGCACGGGGGACUCCUACGGGAGGCAGCAGUGGGGAAUCUUGGACAAUGGGCGCAAGCCUGAUCCAGCAAUGCCGCGUGUGGGAAGAAGGCCUUCGGGUUGUAAACCACUUUUGGCAGGAAAGAAAUCGUCCGUGUUAAUACCAUGGAUGGAUGACGGUACCUGCAGAAUAAGCACCGGCUAACUACGUGCCAGCAGC